GCCCAUAUAGCUCAGGGGUAGAGCACUUCCUUGGUAAGGAAGAGGUCGCCGGUUCAAAUCCGGCUAUGGGCUCCA
rnacentral:tRNA from 1 species